CUAUUUGCGAUAUAAGAGUGGGUGUGCGUCUGUAGUUAGGUAGUUGGUAAGGGUAACCGGCCUAACCAACGCCGACGAUCAGUAGGGGGUGUGAGAGCAUGGCCCCCCACACGGGUACUGAGACACGGACCCGACUCCUACGGGAGGCAGCAGUAAGGAAUAUUGGUCAAUGGAGGCGACUCUGAACCAGCCAUUCCGCGUGAAGGAUGAAUGCCCUCUGGGUUGUAAACUUCUUUAGUCUGGGAAGAAAAACAUAUAUUCAUAUAUGUCUGACGGUACCAGAAGAAUAAGCACUGGCUAACUCCGUG
rnacentral:rRNA from 1 species